rnacentral:lncRNA from 1 species
AGAUGCCAUAUUUUCAGAGGAGGUUGUACAGGCCCACCCCAUAGGCCAUAAUAAAUUCUUGCCAGGAAGAUGAAGUUAGCAUAAUUUUUCCCUUUGUGUGGAAACAAAAAUGGAAAGAAGCUAAAUAUAAUACUUCAAAAAAUAAAAUUCACAAUAUUCUAUAACGAAACUAGAAGAAUGUAAGGAAAUUUUUGGCUUAUUCCAGUUUUCACAAUCCACCACAUAGAACAGAAAUUAUAAUUUGAAUAGAAAGUAGUAUCUCUCUCAGUUUUCAAGAAUAUACUUCUUGUCAAUGCAAAAGUACUGCUUGCAGAAAUUUUAAAUACCGCUUUUAGUAAUAGGGUUGGCUGACAGCAUGAAAGGCCCUUUCUGUGAGGAGAAUUUAUUGGUUUAACACAAUUAGCUGAUAUAUUUUCUCC